rnacentral:lncRNA from 1 species
UAUCUUUUUCGAAUAAAAGAAGCAAGAUACGAUCGAUGCAUUUCAUUCAAAUGCCACGAGAGAGAAAGAGAAACAAACGAGCAUGGAAAGAAGCGGAUCGUAGUAGCUCGGUAAAUAUAUAUAUAUAUAUAUAUAUAUAUAUAUAUAUAUAUUUUUUUUUUUUUUUUCGGUAAAUAUAUUUCUUUGCUUGAUGAAUGUUUUUAGCUUUACAUUAACGUUUAACUUAUCUCGUUUGCUCGACUGAAAGAUGUUUUUGUUAUGUAUUAAUUAGUAUUAUCUACAAAUUUAUCAUUCUACGUAUAUUUUGAGUUUAUGUAGAAAAUUUUGACAUAUUAUAUUUAAUCUCGUUAACGUUUGCGAUACGUAAAUCUCGGAUUCGGGUGCAUGUCAGCAUGUGUGCUACUGUUUUUCACUUUUAGAUUGUUGCUACUACCAAUACUAGUUUAUUUCGGGUACAUUUCAUUUUUUUAAGUAAUACAAAUCUAAUGACUCACACCAACGUUGAUGUUAUUCAUAUGAAUCACAUAUUUAAUUAUUUAUAGUAACGAGAUUUUGAGUAACUAGUAAUAAAAAAAAUCGUUAGUAGUUCGAAAUAUUAAUACGUAUUGAACAACCUUGGUGUGAGAAUAUCGUCCCAAAAACCCUACUAAAUUGAAGCUUUAGGUCAUCCUUUUUUAAGCUGAUACGUUAGUGAUUAACAUGCAUGAAUACAUACUUCCAUCGAGAAAUUUAUUUUAUUUUCUUGUUAAAUAAUAUUUAUCAAUUCGAGUUAUAGACAUAGUAACUGCUAAAUCUUGUUUUUCAUGAAAAAGAGGUGAUUACUAUAUUAAAUUUUCAGAACUCAAUAUCUUACAGAAAUAAGAUAUCAGAUGCUUGUCAUAUGUCUAUUACAUCACGAAGAACUAAUUAAUCAAAUCUAAACUAGUACGCUUAAGCAACAUAGUGGAAUGGUAUUAUUUACAUACACUCGUGUACUUCAUGGAUACUAAAGCAAUUCUGUUUUUGUUUUGUUUUUGCUGUCAUUAAUCUUUUUCUGUAUCAAAUGCUUUUUCAUAUGUCUAAAUAUAUGCGUGUAUUUUUUUGUUCUUUCACAGGUCGAUACCAAUUGAUUACUGUCCAUGGAAUAUUCAUUUGAGCAAGAUGUUGGCAUGAAGUUGCACCGGUGAAGGACGAGCUGAAUCUAUAUCAAUACUGCCUCGACCUCGAUCCUUCACCUUGUUAUUACAUACAUAGUCAGAAUCUCAUUGUCGACUAUGUAUGAAUUAACAUUGUGGAUGUUGAUUUACAAAAGAAGUUUUUGAUACUUACGUGACUUUCAUUGUUGUCUGAAAUAACUAUGUUAUAUAUGUAUAAAGGUUCGUAGGUGAAAUUGGAAAUAAUUUUAUAAAAGUAGUGAUCAUUACAAGGAAUUAAUUAUUCUUUCUUCUGUUAUAGGGCCAUCAAAGUAUUAUGGAAUUGUUUUAAAUAUUCUUUCUCUACUGUAAUUAAUGUAUCUAUUAGUAACUGAAAAUAAUUAGACUUUUUUGC